AGCGUACACGGUGGAUGCCCUGGCAGUCAGAGGCGAUGAAGGACGUGCUAAUCUGCGAUAAGCGCCGGUAAGGUGAUAUGAACCGUUAUAACCGGCGAUUUCCGAAUGGGGAAACCCAGUGUGACUCGUCACACUAUCAUUAACUGAAUCCAUAGGUUAAUGAGGCGAACCGGGGGAACUGAAACAUCUAAGUACCCCGAGGAAAAGAAAUCAACCGAGAUUCCCCCAGUAGCGGCGAGCGAACGGGGAGGAGCCCAGAGCCUGAAUCAGCAUGUGUGUUAGUGGAAGCGUCUGGAAAGGCGCGCGAUACAGGGUGACAGCCCCGUACACAAAAGCGCAUGUGCUGUGAGCUCGAUGAGUAGGGCGGGACACGUGGUAUCCUGUCUGAAUAUGGGGGGACCAUCCUCCAAGGCUAAAUACUCCUGACUGACCGAUAGUGAACCAGUACCGUGAGGGAAAGGCGAAAAGAACCCCGGCGAGGGGAGUGAAAAAGAACCUGAAACCGUGUACGUACAAGCAGUGGGAGCACCCUUUGGGGUGUGACUGCGUACCUUUUGUAUAAUGGGUCAGCGACUUAUAUUCUGUAGCAAGGUUAACCGAAUAGGGGAGCCGGAGGGAAACCGAGUCUUAAUUGGGCGUUAAGUUGCAGGGUAUAGACCCGAAACCCGGUGAUCUAGCCAUGGGCAGGUUGAAGGUUGGGUAACACUAACUGGAGGACCGAACCGACUAAUGUUGAAAAAUUAGCGGAUGACCUGUGGCUGGGGGUGAAAGGCCAAUCAAACCGGGAGAUAGCUGGUUCUCCCCGAAAGCUAUUUAGGUAGCGCCUCGUGAAUUCAUCUCCGGGGGUAGAGCACUGUUUCGGCUAGGGGGCCAUCCCGGCUUACCAACCCGAUGCAAACUGCGAAUACCGGAGAAUGUUAUCACGGGAGACACACGGCGGGUGCUAACGUCCGUCGUGAAGAGGGAAACAACCCAGACCGCCAGCUAAGGUCCCAAAGUCAUGGUUAAGUGGGAAACGAUGUGGGAAGGCCCAGACAGCCAGGAUGUUGGCUUAGAAGCAGCCAUCAUUUAAAGAAAGCGUAAUAGCUCACUGGUCGAGUCGGCCUGCGCGGAAGAUGUAACGGGGCUAAACCAUGCACCGAAGCUGCGGCAGCGACGCUGAUGCGUUGUUGGGUAGGGGAGCGUUCUGUAAGCCUGCGAAGGUGGCCUGUGAGGGUUGCUGGAGGUAUCAGAAGUGCGAAUGCUGACAUAAGUAACGAUAAAGCGGGUGAAAAGCCCGCUCGCCGGAAGACCAAGGGUUCCUGUCCAACGUUAAUCGGGGCAGGGUGAGUCGACCCCUAAGGCGAGGCCGAAAGGCGUAGUCGAUGGGAAACGGGUUAAUAUUCCCGUACUUGGUGUUACUGCGAAGGGGGGACGGAGAAGGCUAUGUUGGCCGGGCGACGGUUGUCCCGGUUUAAGCGUGUAGGUGUGUGUUCCAGGUAAAUCCGGUUCACUUUAACACUGAGGCGUGAUGACGAGGCACUACGGUGCUGAAGCAACAAAUGCCCUGCUUCCAGGAAAAGCCUCUAAGCAUCAGGUAACAUCAAAUCGUACCCCAAACCGACACAGGUGGUCAGGUAGAGAAUACCAAGGCGCUUGAGAGAACUCGGGUGAAGGAACUAGGCAAAAUGGUGCCGUAACUUCGGGAGAAGGCACGCUGACACGUAGGUGAAGUGAUUUACUCAUGGAGCUGAAGUCAGUCGAAGAUACCAGCUGGCUGCAACUGUUUAUUAAAAACACAGCACUGUGCAAACACGAAAGUGGACGUAUACGGUGUGACGCCUGCCCGGUGCCGGAAGGUUAAUUGAUGGGGUCAGCGCAAGCGAAGCUCCUGAUCGAAGCCCCGGUAAACGGCGGCCGUAACUAUAACGGUCCUAAGGUAGCGAAAUUCCUUGUCGGGUAAGUUCCGACCUGCACGAAUGGCGUAAUGAUGGCCAGGCUGUCUCCACCCGAGACUCAGUGAAAUUGAACUCGCUGUGAAGAUGCAGUGUACCCGCGGCAAGACGGAAAGACCCCGUGAACCUUUACUAUAGCUUGACACUGAACAUUGAGCCUUGAUGUGUAGGAUAGGUGGGAGGCUUUGAAGUGUGGACGCCAGUCUGCAUGGAGCCGGCCUUGAAAUACCACCCUUUAAUGUUUGAUGUUCUAACGUGGACCCGUGAUCCGGGUUGCGGACAGUGUCUGGUGGGUAGUUUGACUGGGGCGGUCUCCUCCUAAAGAGUAACGGAGGAGCACGAAGGUUGGCUAAUCCUGGUCGGACAUCAGGAGGUUAGUGCAAUGGCAUAAGCCAGCUUGACUGCGAGCGUGACGGCGCGAGCAGGUGCGAAAGCAGGUCAUAGUGAUCCGGUGGUUCUGAAUGGAAGGGCCAUCGCUCAACGGAUAAAAGGUACUCCGGGGAUAACAGGCUGAUACCGCCCAAGAGUUCAUAUCGACGGCGGUGUUUGGCACCUCGAUGUCGGCUCAUCACAUCCUGGGGCUGAAGUAGGUCCCAAGGGUAUGGCUGUUCGCCAUUUAAAGUGGUACGCGAGCUGGGUUUAGAACGUCGUGAGACAGUUCGGUCCCUAUCUGCCGUGGGCGCUGGAGAACUGAGGGGGGCUGCUCCUAGUACGAGAGGACCGGAGUGGACGCAUCACUGGUGUUCGGGUUGUCAUGCCAAUGGCACUGCCCGGUAGCUAAAUGCGGAAGAGAUAAGUGCUGAAAGCAUCUAAGCACGAAACUUGCCCCGAGAUGAGUUCU
rnacentral:rRNA from 2 species